rnacentral:rRNA from 1 species
GACGAACGCUGGCGGCGUGCCUAACACAUGCAAGUCGAGCGGGGUGAGUUCUUCGGAACGAUCCUAGCGGCGGACGGGUGAGUAACACGUGGGUAACCUGCCUCAAAGUGGGGGAUAGCCUUUCGAAAGGAAGAUUAAUACCGCAUAACCCAUAGCUUCCGCAUGGAAGCAAUGGUAAAGAUUUAUCGCUUUGAGAUGGACCCGCGGCGCAUUAGCUAGUUGGUGAGGUAACGGCUCACCAAGGCCACGAUGCGUAGCCGACCUGAGAGGGUGAUCGGCCACAUUGGAACUGAGACACGGUCCAGACUCCUACGGGUGGCAG